rnacentral:lncRNA from 1 species
GCUGAUACAUAGGAAAUUCGGUUCGGUUCAGUAUGUCUUGGUACACGUGUUAAACCGAGAUCAGAAUUCAAUCGGUUUGGUCCGAUCAUACAACAGGUAUGCUGAGGUUUCUAUAAUUUCAUAGAAAAACUGUAACCAAAAAAGCCAAACCAAACCAAAUCGAAAUGUAAUCAACCCAAACUAGAAAUUUGUUUACAGACUGGUUUUAUUAUUCUAACACCCGAUAAAGCAAAACCAAAACCAUAACCAAACCGUAACCAAUUUAAAUGUCACAAAACUAAACCGAAUAAACCAAAAUUCAUGGUAUAUGUAAUCAAAUCACCUCUCAGAUUUGGUCCGGUCGGUAUAACAAACAAAAAUUCUCAAUUUCAAUUUCUAUAGAAAGAGCAGCGUUCUAAAAAACGGUCUAGGCGGUCGCCUAGGCCCCGACUAGGCGCUAGGCUCUCAUGCGACGCCUAAAUAACCGCCUUGACCGCCUAAAAUUAUAUAGAACUUGUUUAGUGUAUUUUUUCAAUUUCAAUUAGAGUUUAUUUAUAUAUAUAGUUAUAAAUAUUCAUAUAUUGUUUAAUAUAAAUAUAAAUAAAUGUUUUAUUUAGUUUUUGUUUAUAAUUUCAUAAUUUAUAGUUUUAUAUAGAUAUUUUAUAUAACUUUUAUAUAUAAUAUCAUAUUUAUAAUGUUUUAUGUUAUAAACGUCUAAACCGCCUAAAAAAUCGCCUAGGCCCCGAUUAGGUGUUUUAGGCGCUAGGCACUGGGUCACCGCCCGCUUAGCGUCUAGCACUUUCUUGAACACUGAGAAAGAGUAGAUGGAGAGAGAGACCUUGGAAUGGUAGAGAUCGGAGUCGUAGAUAGCGAGAAGCUGAGCAGUGCGACAACCACAGUCGUAGCCAUGGCGAAUAGCUACAGCUCCGACGUAUAAACCAACUCCAAGAACAGAUUUAUCCAUAGCCACCGUCUCUUUCGUCAGUCUUAUCGUAUCCAAAUGCAGAACCAAGCCGUGUCCGAACCAUGGACGCACCACUCCCUCUACUCUUCCCACCUCACCGCCUGUUUCUAAGUUCUUCCCCGUCACUCUGAAAAACGGUCCUAAAGUUUGGAUCUUUAAGUCUAUCUUUCGAGCUCUUGAUGAUGUCAGGAUGUCUGACAUCGACGGUAAUGAUUUGGGUUCACCCAGGGAAUUGGACGGUGAGAGAUUGAGUUUAGCUGGAAUCAGAGCCAUCUUCAUUUCUUCUGAGUUUCGUUCCUGAAAGAGGUUCAGAUAAAUAAUUAAAUGAAAUGAUGGGAUAAUAUAGGUAACAUAGAUGACACGUGGCAUCCAUCCAGAGAGUCGAACAUUUCUAAACUAUGGACAACAUGAACAAGGCUCACGAGUUUUGAUUGCUCUUUG